AUGCGACGCUGCUACACGGCACACAUGGUGUUAAGCUACUUCACCGCCCAUAGCCCGGUUGUUUUCCGUCUUCACACGAGCUGGAAGUUGAAGGACGUCCUUGAGACCAUUGAUGAACUGGUUGUGGAGACGAACAAUUUCCACUUCCUACAACAUACCGAAGCACCAAGCAUUGAUCAUCCACAAACAUACUCUCAUGUUGAUGAAUCAGACAUUGUGGGCAGACAAGCGGAGAAGGAACAAGUGGUGAAGAUAUUGCUCGACCACUCUCACAACAAUAAUGACAGUAAUAAUGUCAUGGUGCUCCCCAUAGUUGGUAUGGGGGGAAUUGGUAAGACUACCCUUGCCCAAUUUGUGCACAAUGAUCAGAGGGUGAAGCAUCAUUUUGAGUUGGUCAUAUGGACAUGUGUCUCUGACAAGUUUAUCGUCGAAGAAAUUAUUCGAUCUGUAAUACAAGUGGCCACAUUGAACAAGUGUGAAUUGACUGACAAGGAGGCACUGCAGAAGAAACUUGGUGAAGUGUUGGGCAAGAAAAGGUACCUCCUAGUGUUGGAUGAUGUUUGGAAUGAAGAUAGACAAAAGUGGGAUGAUAUGAGAUCUUUUCUAUGCUCACAUGCCGGCUCACGCAGUGCUAUAAUUGUGACAAGCCGUAGCAAUCAAGUUGCUUCUAUCAUGGGCACACUUCCUCCGCAUCAGAUAUCACUUCUAGAUGAAGAUCAAUCAUGGGAGAUUUUUAAAAGAAAAGCAUUUGGAAUGGAAGUGGAAAAGAAAGAGGAAUUGAUUUCAGUCGCAAAGAGUAUUGUUCAUAAGUGUAAGGGAUUGCCUCUUGCUAUCAAGACCAUAGCAGCUUUACUUCGCUCGAAACAUCACAGUCAGUGGUUUUCUGUUCUCCAUAGUGAUGUCUGGAAAGAUGACAUCCUCACAGCUACUGGUAUUAUACCUGCACUGAAGCUGAGUUAUGAUCACUUGUCAUCCGAAGCAAAACUAUGCUUCUCCUUUUGUGCUAUUUUCCCCAAGGAUAGCCCGAUGGAUAAAGACACGCUAAUCCAAUUAUGGAUGGCAAAUGACUUUAUUGCAUCAGAAACAAGAGGCCAACAAAUUUUUGAUGUGCUAGUUUGGAGAUGUUUUCUCCAAGAUGUGGAGAUAAAAGAGGAUGCCUACAUCCAUCAUUCAACUACUUGCAAGACGCAUGAUCUCAUGCAUGAUCUUGCUGAGUCCGUAAGCGGAAAUGAUUGCUCCAUUCAGCAAGAAUCUUCAUCACGUCAAGAAAUUAUGCAAGGAUCUACAUAUACCAGUUUAUUACAUCAUGAGGUCCAACAUUUGUCACUUGGUUAUGUCUUUAACAGUACUAUUGCAGCCAUGAAAGAAAUUUUAGCUCCCCGAGCCCGCACAAUAUUAGUCCAAAGGGAGACUUCUCUGGAUAGUGGAAAGUCUUUGGGUAUGGCCAUAUCAAAAUUCAUACCCUUACGAGCAUUGAAGACAUACUCAAUCAAUACACAUAUGACAAACAUGAAGCAUCUUCGCUAUCCAGAUUGUUCUUAUUCUGAUAUAUUUGCACUGCCUGAAGCAACUGCCAUGCUGUAUAGCCUGCAAACAUUGAAGCUCAUUGAUUGUCAAAACCUGAAGAAAUUACCAGAAGGCAUAAGAUAUAUGAGCAGUCUUCGGCACCUCUUCCUCUCUGGGUGUGAUAGUUUGAAGCGCAUGCCACAAGGUAUGGGUCAGAUGAAUUCUCUACUGACAUUGACAAAUUAUGUCAUUGAUAGUGAUGGCGGUCAUGGAAUUGAUCAACUCAAAGAUUUGAAUCUAGGUGGUGAUCUUUCUUUGACAGAGCUGAGAAAAGUGCGUAGUGCAGAAAAUGCUAAACAAGGCAAUAUGUCCGCCAAUCAUAACUUGAAACGAUUGUCACUCGAUUGGUAUGGAAAUUAUAUCACAGGAUAUGAAGAUGAAGUAGAUACUAAUGCAGAAGGAAUAUUGGAGGCCCUUCGUCCUCACAAAAUACUUGAAGUUUUAAAGUUGUCUAAUUAUAUUGGUGCUAAAUUUUCAUCAUGGAUGCACAACUCAGCACUGUUAGAACAUCUUACUGAGCUUUCUCUGACUGGAUGCAAGAACUGCAAGGAUCUUCCACCAUUAUGGCAGCUGCCCUCUCUCGGAUACUUGAGUUUGAAUGAUUUGUGUAGCUUGACAAGUAUAUGUGUUUGUAAUGAUGACACAGACAAUGGGGAAUCUUGUAUUUACCCACCACCCUUCUUUCCUAAACUAGAGACCAUGAUACUUCUCAACAUGCCGAAGCUAAGGAGAUGGCACCAAGAGGUGGCAGGACAAGUAGUGGUUGUAUCAUUCCCUCAACUCAAGCAGCUAAAUAUUUCAGAAUGCCCAAUGCUAGGAAGCAUGCCCGAGAGGCUCCCGUUGCUUGAAGAUCUACUGGUGAAGGGCGCAAGGUAUAUUCCCCUUUACCAUCUGAUGAAUCUAUCUGUGCAAUCUGAUCUUGAGUGCAAAGGCGACAUUUCUAUGGAACCUGGAGUUCGUUGGCUGCUUGUGAACCUUCAUUUCUCGAGGCUUGGAGACUCUUACGUGAGGCUGAAACUCAAUGGUUUGAUGGAAAAUGUUGAGCUCUUUCAACGAGGGCUGAACAGAAUACCUUGUAGAUCUAUUAAGGAAUUGGAUAUAGUAGAUUGCAACUGCCUUUUCUCAUCUGAACCAUUCCAAAGCCAACGGAAUGUAUGGGACCGUUUUUGUUUUGUUGAAAAGAUGUGGAUUUUUCACAACAAGAAUCUAGUACAAUGGCCACUGGUAGAAUUCAGAAACUUGAAUCAUCUUCGAGGUCUACAUUUGUUUGACUGUUCAAACUUAACUGGUUCACUACCAUCAACAUUAUCUAAAGAUGAAAGUGUCAUGCCUCCCCGACUCCAGCAUCUUGAAAUUGCCUUAUGUAAUAAUUUGGUGGAGAUACCAAAGUUAGCUGCAUCUCUUGAAAGUUUGUUGAUCUAUUCUUGUCCCAAGUUGGUGUCCAUGCCAACAAUUCUUGGGAACAACAAAAAAUUGAGAGAACUCAAGGUGUUUGAGUGUGACACUUUGAUGACAUUUCCAGAUGGAAUGUAUGGAGUCACUGCGCUCAAAAAACUAUGGAUGGUGGCGUGCCCAGGGGUAGAGACUUUACCGGAGGGACUCCUGCAACAGCUCCCAGUCCUGUUGGAACUACGCAUCAAAGACUGCCCCAAUUUGGAGGGAGUCUUCUCAAGAGGGGGCGCUUACUGGAAUUUGGUUGAAGCAAUUCCACGAAGAGAUGUUGGCCCUUACCCGAGACCCAUGGAUUGGUAA
rnacentral:rRNA from 1 species